CCCCUUUGUAUGACUUCUGGCUCAUAUUUUUUUUUUGAAUUGUCCGUCUGUUUUUGUUUGUUUUGGUUUUGCGCACUUGUUCAUAUAUUUUUUUCCUUCCCUAUUUACCAAAAAACCUCCUAUCUGACUUGAGAUAUCCCAUCCCGACCACUGCUUUCAGAGUACGUUACGACGAUGGUCCUUGUGGCAUAGAGACGCCCAUAGCCACACUUAUUUACACAAGAGAGAUAAACGUGUUUCCUCCUCAUCUCCAGCCAGAUUUCUGAAAGACUGGCUUUCGGUGUUGCUUUUUGGAAGACGAAUUGAUUAUGAAGCCAACCGAAAUGGAACCGUCCCGAGAUCGAGAGCUGGUAUUAAAGGACAGGCACUCAUUUUCAGAAAUGUCCAACAGGCCCGCUAUCCCAAUGUGGGAUAGUGCAGACCCAGAGCGAGCUCCACCUCCACUCCCCUUAAACCCCGGUUCGGGUAGUCCCACAACCCGACCAAAUGUUUCCGCAUCUAUACAGGCUGUCGCCGCUGCAUUAUCAGAGAAAAGCAAUGAAAAUGUUCCAAGCUCUUACACGGUCAAUCCUAUGGUACUCAAGUCAUCGCCAGAAAAAUCUCUGGUCAAAGGACAAUUCCAUAAGCGCAUACAAUCACUUCAGCCGGCAAUAAACAGCCGAGAGCUCACACCUUACAUAGAGCGACGCUCUCCCGAGAGAAAUUCCAGGUCAAGCCCAUUUGAUGCUGAUGGGGGACGAACGCGAGAGAAAAGCCCAUCUCGCGUAAAGACCCCUACUUCCGCUGGAAAAGAUCCUUCCAAUUUCCGUGCGUCGAGCCGCUAUCUGUCUAAGCCAAUCCUUGGGGAGAACACUCCUCCGUCUGCUACAAUGCUUGCUUUGCAGAACAUGCAGCUCCCAAUCGAGAUAGAUUCCCCUACCAAGGGCGCCAGCAACUACACUCCGUCACCACAGCCUCAAGAUUUUAGUUCACUGUCUAGCC
rnacentral:sRNA from 1 species